rnacentral:rRNA from 1 species
AGUGAACGCUGGCGGUAGGCCUAACACAUGCAAGUCGAACGGCAGCACAGUAAGAGCUUGCUCUUACUGGUGGCGAGUGGCGGACGGGUGAGGAAUACAUCGGAAUCUACUUUUUCGUGGGGGAUAACGUAGGGAAACUUACGCUAAUACCGCAUACGACCUACGGGUGAAAGCAGGGGAGCUUCGGACCUUGCGCGAUUGAAUGAGCCGAUGUCGGAUUAGCUAGUUGGCGGGGUAAAGGCCCACCAAGGCGACGAUCCGUAGCUGGUCUGAGAGGAUGAUCAGCCACACUGGAACUGAGACACGGUCCAGACUCCUACGGGAGGCAGCAGUGGGGAAUAUUGGACAAUGGGCGAAAGCCUGAUCCAGCCAUACCGCGUGGGUGAAGAAGGCCUUCGGGUUGUAAAGCCCUUUUGUUGGGAAAGAAAAGCAGCAGGUUAAUACCCCGCUGUUCUGACGGUACCCAAAGAAUAAGCACCGGCUAACUUCGUG